rnacentral:rRNA from 1 species
UACGUAGGGUGCGAGCGUUAAUCGGAAUUACUGGGCGUAAAGCGUGCGCAGGCGGUGAUGUAAGACAGAUGUGAAAUCCCCGGGCUCAACCUGGGAACUGCAUUUGUGACUGCAUCGCUAGAGUACGGUAGAGGGGGAUGGAAUUCCGCGUGUAGCAGUGAAAUGCGUAGAUAUGCGGAGGAACACCGAUGGCGAAGGCAAUCCCCUGGACCUGUACUGACGCUCAUGCACGAAAGGCGUGGGAGCAAACGAGG